CCCAAAUGAUGUAAACUUGUUCUCUUGACUCCAUGAGAGUAUUUUAAAAAACUGAUUUAAUGAGACUGAUGG
rnacentral:snoRNA from 1 species